GCAGCGGCCAAAACCGCCACCACCGUCUCUCUAUUUCCCUCUCAACAAUCAAACACACGCGCACGGACAUGGCGUAAGCCACGCCGCCGCCGGAUACAGGACAGCAAACGCCCCACCGCGGUGCGCCGCCGCCUGCUCCUUCUUUUCCGACAAACAGCCGAAGCUACCUCCGUCUCCGCCCCGCCCGAAAUCGAUCGGAAACGACGACAGGUUCACCGCCGCCGCUCCGUUGCCGACGACGAGCCACCGAGGCUGUCAUUUCCCGACCUCGACUCACACACAAAACAGGGGUGUCAAGCAUCAAAUCAGUUCAAGGGUUUUCUUGUGCAAAUUCACUUUACAACUGUAAUACUCAAUAUAAAGUCUUUUAUUCAUCUGUAAUUUCAUUUCACAUAUAACAUAUCUUGUAAACAUAUAGUGAAACGUCAAGUAACUGUGUGUGUUGGGAUUCUGUGUUGGUGAUUUAGAGAAUUAAACAAAAGGGGAUAAUACCUUGAGUA